rnacentral:rRNA from 1 species
UACGGGGGGGGCAAGCGUUGUUCGGAAUUACUGGGCGUAAAGGGCUCGUAGGCGGCCAACUAAGUCAGACGUGAAAUCCCCAGGCUCAACCUGGGAACUGCGUCUGAUACUGGAUGGCUUGAAUCCGGGAGAGGGAUGCAGAAUUCCAGGUGUAGCGGUGAAAUGCGUAGAUAUCUGGAGGAAUACCGGUGGCGAAGGCGGCAUCCUGGACCGACAUUGACGCUGAUGAGCGAAAGCUAGGGGAGCAAACGGG